GGGCGGCCCGGCUGUUCGGCCGCCGCGACCCGACGCGGGCACGGCCCGUGGCAACCCUAAUUCAAAGACUUCGGCGGCGCGUCUCGGCACGCCCGUCGGCCGACGCGUGGCCUUUCCACAGCUGGUUUCACCACGACGCGAAAAACGAAACCGCGCAGCGCGUCGCGGCCGGACAGGACCGACGGAAGGUGUGCCUCUCCGCGGCUCCGAGAUGGGCAGCCCCGGCCAGCGUCGGCGGGGGAGGAGCAGUUUGCCUGCGCGCCCCGCGAGUCGAGCGGCGAGGAAACCCGAGCAGCCCACCUCUCCCGUUUUUU
rnacentral:telomerase_RNA from 1 species